GAGAGUGUGGCUCAGUGGCAGAGUGUUUGCUUAGCAUGCAAACGCCCUGAGUUCAAUCCUUUGCACCA
rnacentral:tRNA from 1 species